rnacentral:rRNA from 1 species
AUUGAACGCUGGCGGCAUGCCUAACACAUGCAAGUCGAGCGAGCGGCGGACGGGUGAGUAAUGUCUGGGAAACUGCCUGAUGGAGGGGGAUAACUCCGGGAAACGGUAGCUAUUACCGCAUACCAUCUGAUGUGCCCAGAUGGGAUUUGCUAGUAGGUGGGGUAACGGCUCACCUGGGCGACGAUCCCUAGCUGGUCUGAGAGGAUGUCCAGCGACACUGGAACUGAGACGCGGUCCAGACUCCUACGGGAGGGAGCAGAGGGGAAUAUUGCACAAUGGGCGCGAGCCUGAUGCAGCCAUGCCGCGUGUAUGAAGAAGGCCUGCGGGUGGUAAAGUACUUUCAGCGGGGAGGCGUUACCCGCAGAAGAAGCACCGGCUAACUCCGUGCCAGCAGCCGCGGUAAUAC